GACGAACGCUGGCGGCGUGCUUAACACAUGCAAGUCGAGCGGUAAGGCCCUUUCGGGGGUACACGAGCGGCGAACGGGUGAGUAACACGUGGGUGACCUGCCCUCAGCUCUGGGAUAAGCCUGGGAAACCGGGUCUAAUACUGGAUAUGACUCCAUGACGCAUGUUGUGGGGUGGAAAGCCUUGUGCGGCUGAGGAUGGGGCCCGCGGCCUAUCAGCUUGUUGGUGGGGUGAGGCCUACCAAGGCGACGACGGGUAGCCGGCCUGAGAGGGCGACCGGCCACACUGGGACUGAGACACGGCCCAGACUCCUACGGGAGGCAGCGGUAAGGAAUAUUGCGCAAUGGGCGAAAGCCUGACGCAGCGACGCCGCGUGGGGAUGAAGGUCUUCGGAUUGU
rnacentral:rRNA from 1 species